rnacentral:piRNA from 1 species
UAGUGCAAUGGUUCUCAACCUUCCU